GGCCUUUAGAUUAUAAUUUAAGGUCUGACCUGCCCAAUGAUUAUUUUAAAUGGCCGCAGUAUUUUGACUGUGCAAAGGUAGCAUAAUCAUUAGUUUUUUAAUUGAAAGCUGGAAUGAAUGGUUUGAUGAAAAAAUAGCUGUCUCAAUAAAAUUUAUUUAGAAUUUUAAUUUUAAGUGAAAAAGCUUAAAUGUUUUAUGAAGACGAGAAGACCCUAUAGAGUUUAAUAUUAUUUUUGCUAAUUGGUUUAGGUUUAUUUUACAUAUUAGUAUACAUAGUAUUUUGUUGGGGUGACAGAAAAAUUUAAGUAACUUUUUAUGUUUUAAUACAUUGAUUUAUGAAUAUAUGAUCCUGUUUUUUGGAUUAUAAGAUUAAAUUACCUUAGGGAUAACAGCGUAAUUUCUUUGGAGAGUUCUUAUCGAUAGAGAAGUUUGCGA
rnacentral:rRNA from 1 species